rnacentral:rRNA from 1 species
CCUACGGGCGGCAGCAGUGGGGAAUAUUGCGCAAUGGGCGAAAGUCUGACGCAGCGACGCCGCGUGAGGGAUGAAGGUUUUCGGAUCGUAAACCUCUGUCAGAAGGGAAGAAGUUGCAUGGGGCCAAUCACCUGUGCAUUUACGUUACCUUCAAAGGAAGCACCGGCUAACUCCGUCCCAGCAGCCGCGGUAAUACGGAGGGUGCGAGCGUUAAUCGGAAUUACUGGGCGUAAAGCGCACGUAGGCUGUAUGUCAAGUCAAGGGUGAAAUCCCACGGCUCAACCGUGGAACUGCCUUUGAAACUGGCAGACUGGAGUAUGUGAGAGGGCGGCGGAAUUCCUGGUGUAGGAGUGAAAUCCGUAGAUAUCAGGAGGAACAUCAGUGGCGAAGGCGGCCGCCUGGAACAAAACUGACGCUGAGGUGCGAAAGCGUGGGUAGCAAACAGGAUUAGAUACCCCAGUAGUC